ACGCUUUCCUCUUAAUAAACCAAUUGGAUGGUAAUUUCAAACAUUGUUUCUCAUACAGUAAAGGACCCUUGAUCCAUAAAUCCUCAGUUACAGUAAGAUUAACACUUUCCCCAGCUUAGCGCCACCAUGCAGACUAGUCAGUGGGUCUGCCCGGUGCGGUGGGCUGAUCCAAGACAGUUAGUGGCUAUAGAACGUCAGGUUUUGCUUUCACCGCUGCAAAUUUAAUUGCUGUGUGGUGUCAAUGAGACCUGGAACAUGAACCAUGUGUGACUACUUCAGCUGUUUCUGGAAUGGCAUGAAAGUGCAGAUCUUCCAGCUAGGCUGCAAUGUACUAUCCCAUUGCAUAAAGGUAAAGAUGCAAACUGUUUGCUUUCAGAGUAUGCUUUUGCUGCAUGAGGGGAUUUUGCUCUACAUUCCAGUUUCCCUGUGGCUCUUUAAGGUGCUAGAACACCCUGCUGUUGGUCAUCUUUGAUGCCCUUCUCUGACCUUCUGCACUGAUGAAACAAUCAUUGAAGUACAUGCUG
rnacentral:lncRNA from 1 species